rnacentral:rRNA from 1 species
GACAGAGGGUGCGAGCGUUAAUCGGAAUUACUGGGCGUAAAGAGCGCGUAGGCGGCUUUGCAAGUCGGGUGUGAAAUCCCCAGGCUUAACCUGGGAACUGCAUUCGAGACUGCAUUGCUAGAGUAUGGGAGAGGGAAGUGGAAUUUCCGGUGUAGCGGUGAAAUGCGUAGAUAUCGGAAGGAACAUCAGUGGCGAAAGCGACUUCCUGGACCAAUACUGACGCUCAUGUGCGAAAGCGUGGGGAGCAAACAGG